CAGCAGCCACGGUAAUACGUAGGUGGCAAGCGUUGUCCGGAAUUAUUGGGCGUAAAGGCUCGCAGGCGGUUUCUUAAGUCUGAUGUGAAAGCCCUCGGCUCAACCGGGGAGGGUCAUUGGAAACUGGGAAACUUGAGUGCAGAAGAGGAGAGUGGAAUUCCACGUGUAGCGGUGAAAUGCGUAGAGAUGUGGAGGAACACCAGUGGCGAAGGCGACUCUCUGGUCUGUAACUGACGCUGAGGAGCGAAAGCGUGGGGAGCGAACAGGAUUAGAUACCCCAGUAGUCCCUGUCUCUUAUACA
rnacentral:rRNA from 1 species